rnacentral:ncRNA from 1 species
ACUCCUGUGAGAAUGCCCUUAAUUUCUUUCCCAGAAACCGGGAGCAAGCAUCAGGCACAAAAUUGUAUUGCCCAAGACGCUUUGCUAAGCCACACCCUCAAGGGAAUUCAGCAGUAAUAAACAUUAGGCCAUGAGCGGAAGCUUGACCUAGUUAAAGUCAUUACGGGCCGGUUAAACUCGUGCCAGCCACCGCGGUUAUACGAGAGACCCAAGUUGACAGUCACCGGCGUAAAGCGUGGUUAAGGACUUCACACACUAAGGCUAAAUACUUCCCUGGUUGUUAUACGCUCUCGGAAGAAUGAAACCCUUUCGCGAAAGUAGCCUUACUUUCCUGAACCCACCACAAUUAGGAAACAAACUGGGAUUAGAUACCCCACUAUGCCUAAUCAUAAACCAUGAUAGCAAGGUACAACUGCUAUCCGCCAGGGCACUACGAGCACCAGCUUAAAACCCAAAGGACUUGGCGGUACUUCAAACCCACCUAGAGGAGCCUGUUCUAGAACCGAUAAUCCCCGUUAAACCUCACCAUCUCUGGCUAAUUCCGCUUAUAUACCGCCGUCGUCAGCUUACCCUGUAAAGGGCCCUCAGUAAGCAGAAAAGACAAAACUCAAAAACGUCAGGUCGAGGUGUAGCGUAUGAGAUGGGAAGAAAUGGGCUACAUUUCCUCGCCAAGGAUACCACGGAGAGUAUACUGAAACUUGUACUUGAAGGUGGAUUUAGCAGUAAGAAGAACUAGCCUAUUCAACUGAAACCGGCUCUGAAGUGCGUACACACCGCCCGUCACUCUCCCCUACCACCCCCCUUUGCUUCUUAAACCGCCAGAUCAAAUAAGGGGAGGCAAGUCGUAACACGGUAAGUGUACUGGAAAGUGCACUUGGAAUAAU